rnacentral:rRNA from 1 species
ACGCAGGCGGUUUGUUAAGCGAGAUGUGAAAGCCCCGGGCUCAACCUGGGAACUGCAUUUCGAACUGGCAAACUAGAGUGUGAUAGAGGGUGGUAGAAUUUCAGGUGUAGCGGUGAAAUGCGUAGAGAUCUGAAGGAAUACCGAUGGCGAAGGCAGCCACCUGGGUCAACACUGACGCUCAUGUACGAAAGCGUGGGGAGCAAACRGGAUUAGAUACCCYGGUAGUCCACGCCGUAAACGAUGUCUACUAGAAGCUCGGAWCCUCGGUUCUGUUUUUCAAAGCUAACGCAUUAAGUAGACCGCCUGGGGAGUACGGCCGCAAGGUUAAAACUCA